GAUGAAGAACGUAGCGAAAUGCGGUAAGUAAUGUGAAUUGCAGAAUUCAGUGAAUCAUCGAAUCUUUGAACGCACAUUGCGCCCGCCAGUAUUCUGGCGGGCAUGCCUGUUCGAGCGUCAUUUCAACCAUCAAGCCCCCCGGCUUGUGUUGGGGACCUGCGGCUGCCGCAGGCCCUGAAAAGCAGUGGCGGGCUCGCUGUCACACCGAGCGUAGUAGCAUACAUCUCGCUCUGGGCGUGCUGCGGGUUCCGGCCGUUAAACCACCUUCAUAACCCAAGGUUGACCUCGGAUCAGGUAGGAAGACCCGCUGAACUUAAGCAUAUCAAUAAGCGGAGGA
rnacentral:misc_RNA from 1 species